rnacentral:rRNA from 1 species
CUUAACACAUGCAAGUCGAGGGGCAGCAUGGUCUUAGCUUGCUAAGGCCGAUGGCGACCGGCGCACGGGUGAGUAACACGUAUCCAACCUGCCGUCUACUCUUGGACAGCCUUCUGAAAGGAAGAUUAAUACAAGAUGGCAUCAUGAGUCCGCAUGUUCACAUGAUUAAAGGUAUUCCGGUAGACGAUGGGGAUGCGUUCCAUUAGAUAGUAGGCGGGGUAACGGCCCACCUAGUCUUCGAUGGAUAGGGGUCCUGAGAGGAAGGUCCCCCACAUUGGAACUGAGACACGGUCCAAACUCCUACGGGAGGCAGCAGUGAGGAAUAUUGGUCAAUGGGCGAGAGCCUGAACCAGCCAAGUAGCGUGAAGGAUGACUGCCCUAUGGGUUGUAAACUUCUUUUAUAAAGGAAUAAAGUCGGGUAUGGAUACCCGUUUGCAUGUACUUUAUGAAUAAGGAUCGGCUAACUCCGUGCCAGCAGCCGCGGUAAUACGGAGGAUCCGAGCGUUAUCCGGAUUUAUUGGGUUUAAAGGGAGCGUAGAUGGAUGUUUAAGUCAGUUGUGAAAGUUUGCGGCUCAACCGUAAAAUUGCAGUUGAUACUGGAUAUCUUGAGUGCAGUUGAGGCAGGCGGAAUUCGUGGUGUAGCGGUGAAAUGCUUAGAUAUCACGAAGAACUCCGAUUGCGAAGGCAGCCUGCUAAGCUGCAACUGACAUUGAGGCUCGAAAGUGUGGGUAUCAAACAGGAUUAGAUACCCUGGUAGUCCACACGGUAAACGAUGAAUACUCGCUGUUUGCGAUAUACUGCAAGCGGCCAAGCGAAAGCGUUAAGUAUUCCACCUGGGGAGUACGCCGGCAACGGUGAAACUCAAAGGAAUUGACGGGGGCCCGCACAAGCGGAGGAACAUGUGGUUUAAUUCGAUGAUACGCGAGGAACCUUACCCGGGCUUAAAUUGCAGAUGAAUUACGGUGAAAGCCGUAAGCCGCAAGGCAUCUGUGAAGGUGCUGCAUGGUUGUCGUCAGCUCGUGCCGUGAGGUGUCGGCUUAAGUGCCAUAACGAGCGCAACCCUUGUUGUCAGUUACUAACAGGUUCCGCUGAGGACUCUGACAAGACUGCCAUCGUAAGAUGUGAGGAAGGUGGGGAUGACGUCAAAUCAGCACGGCCCUUACGUCCGGGGCUACACACGUGUUACAAUGGGGGGUACAGAGGGCCGCUACCACGCGAGUGGAUGCCAAUCCCCAAAACCUCUCUCAGUUCGGACUGGAGUCUGCAACCCGACUCCACGAAGCUGGAUUCGCUAGUAAUCGCGCAUCAGCCACGGCGCGGUGAAUACGUUCCCGGGCCUUGUACACACCGCCCGUCAAGCCAUGGGAGCCGGGGGUACCUGAAGUGCGUAACCGCGAGGAGCGCCCUAGGGUAAAACUGGUGACUGGGGCUAAG